UACCAGCACCCCGAGUGGUCGGGACGAUUAUUGGGCCUAAAGCAUCCGUAGCCGGUUCUGCAAGUCCUCCGUUAAAUCCAGCUGCUCAACAGAUGGGCCGCGGAGGAUACUACAGAGCUAGGAGGCGGGAGAGGCAAGCGGUACUCGAUGGGUAGGGGUAAAAUCCGUUGAUCCAUUGAAGACCACCAGUGGCGAAGGCGGCUUGCCAGAACGCGCUCGACGGUGAGGGAUGAAAGCUGGGGGAGCAAACCGG
rnacentral:rRNA from 1 species